AUUGAACGUUGGCGGCAGGCCUAAAACAUGCAAGUCGAACGAGAAAGCCCUUCGGGGUGAGUACAGUGGCGGACGGGUGAGUAACACGUAGGAAUCUACCCAGUAGCGGGGGAUAACCCG
rnacentral:rRNA from 1 species